UAGACUUCUCUUUUCUCAUGCUUCCUCAUUG
rnacentral:piRNA from 1 species